rnacentral:misc_RNA from 1 species
GCAUCUGGCACCCUGCAGUUCCUCUCCUAUCGUUGUAUCCACAUUGGUCGCCCAGCACGCCGCCUCCCCACAACUUGCCAGCCACGCCAUUCCCUCGCUGCACCUCGCCUCGCCGCGGUCGGAACUGUGCCUCCUCGUCGUGCGCAGCAACCACAGCCCAGCCUCAACUCUAGCCCCGUCUCACCGGCGCCUGCAGCCACGGCUGCUACGCGCGUGCGCAGGGCAACACGCGCCCUCCCCUCGAUGUCUGGGCUGCUGCGCUAUCGUCGCCAUGGAGUAUCGCUGCUGUUCAUCGACGUCCACACCUCUCUGUUGGCGUUCUUCUUCUUCCGAUUGUGAUCCGUUUCCGAGCUUUGAGGGAUCGACGAUCAAGCGUUGGCGACCAAGUGAUCAAGCUCUCUGAGUUCUAUAAGGCUGAAGAUUCUGAGCAUCUGUUUGGUGAAGGUUGCCUUUAGUGCAAUCUAUGCUCAGGUAAAGAAGAAGGCGUCGAGGCGGAUCUCCAGGAGUUCCAGGACGUCGACGAGUUCGAGGAUUAGGCUAGCGACCUCCCCCAGUCAGUUGCCUGUGGUGGGUUGGUUACGUUGGCUAUGUUUCGAUUCUGUGUACUUUGAUUUAUAUUAUGUAAAUGGCUCUAGUCUGUAAUAUUAUUACUUACUCUUUAUUGUAAUUCGAAGCAUUGUGCUAUGAUGAG